rnacentral:rRNA from 1 species
UAACAGUGAGAAAUCAUUGCUAAUACCGCAUAUGCCAUGAACAUCACAUGAUGAAAGUGGGAAAAGAGUAAUCUGCUAGUAGAUGGGCUCGCGUCUGAUUAGAUAGUUGGUGGGGUAACGGCCUACCAAGUCGACGAUCAGUAGCCGGACUGAGAGGUUGAACGGCCACAUUGGGACUGAGAUACGGCCCAGACUCCUACGGGAGGCAGCAGUCGGGAAUAUUGCGCAAUGGAGGAAACUCUGACGCAGUGACGCCGCGUAUAGGAAGAAGGUUUUCGGAUUGUAAACUAUUGUCGUUAGGGAAGAUACAAGACAGUACCUAAGGAGGAAGCUCCGGCUAACUACGUGCCAGCAGCCGCGGUAAUACGUAGGGAGCAAGCGUUAUCCGGAUUUAUUGGGUGUAAAGGGUGCGUAGACGGGAAAGCAAGUUAGUUGUGAAAUCCCUCGGCUUAACUGAGGAACUGCAACUAAAACUGUUUUUCUUGAGUGUUGGAGAGGAAAGUGGAAUUCCUAGUGUAGCGGUGAAAUGCGUAGAUAUUAGGAGGAACACCGGUGGCGAAGGCGACUUUCUGGACAAUAACUGACGUUGAGGCACGAAAGUGUGGGGAGCAAACAGGAUUAGAUACCCUGGUAGUCCACACCGU